rnacentral:rRNA from 1 species
UAAUCGGAAUUACUGGGCGUAAAGCGUGCGCAGGCGGUUUUGUAAGUUUGUCGUGAAAGCCCCGGGCUCAACCUGGGAAUUGCGAUGAAGACUGCAAGGCUUGAAUCUGGCAGAGGGGGGUAGAAUUCCACGUGUAGCAGUGAAAUGCGUAGAGAUGUGGAGGAACACCGAUGGCGAAGGCAGCCCCCUGGGUCAAGAUUGACGCUCAUGCACGAAAGCGUGGGGAGCAAACAGGAUUAGAUACCCUGGUAGUCAAGGGCG